CUUUGUUUUCCUAUCUCUAUAAACUCUGGUCGGGACCUCACCGCAUGACGAACAAGCUACAUGGGUAUGAAACCCGGCCAGAAUAUCAUCAUCACUUGCCUCGAGGGCCGGACAAGAUGGUUUCUGAGGUGGCAGUUCAAACUGAGAUUGGAACAUGAUCAGAUAACUGGAUACAUGCCGAUCAUGGAGUACUGCUGACUCGGUUAUAUAUCUCAAGAUAAUAUCAGAAAAGAAAGAUGCUGUAUACGAUGGCCAUGUUAUUACUUGUAUGAUCAUCGGAUGGAGCAAUUUGAUGAUCAUCGAAUUCGGUUCUGUCUAAAACUUCGAGGUCGAUAUGACAAUGCAUCUGAGGAAUUCGCAAGGACUGCUCAUUUGACAAGGCUUCGCAUGGAAUUUGACACCCUAUAUAUGCUUGGAAUUUACCGGAUCUGUCAGCCAAACAUGUUUCCAGAUCAUAUGAUUUCUCAAAAGCUAGCCAAACAUUCCCCACAAAGUUUAUGUCCGCGACAAUUCUUGAAGGUAGUCCUUUGAGACGCCGAAGUCUCACCUUUUUGGGUGUUCCCUGCAUGCAUGGCAUA